UACGGAGGGUGCAAGCGUUAUCCGGAUUCACUGGGUUUAAAGGGUGCGUAGGCGGGUUGGUAAGUCCGUGGUGAAAUCUCCGAGCUUAACUCGGAAACUGCCGUGGAUACUAUCAAUCUUGAAUAUCGUGGAGGUAAGCGGAAUAUGUCAUGUAGCGGUGAAAUGCUUAGAUAUGACAUAGAACACCAAUUGCGUAGGCAGCUUACUACACGAUCAUUGACGCUGAGGCACGAAAGCGUGGGGAUCAAACAGG
rnacentral:rRNA from 1 species